CGUGGAUAACCUACCUAUAAGACUGGGAGUAACUUCGGGAAACCGGAGCUAAUACCGGAUAAUAUAUUGAACCGCAUGGUUCAAUAGUGAAAGACGGUUUUGCUGUCACUUAUAGAUGGAUCCGCGCUGCAUUAGCUAGUUGGUAAGGUAACGGCUUACCAAGGCAACGAUGCGUAGCCGACCUGAGAGGGUGAUCGGCCACACUGGAACUGAGACACGGUCCAGACUCCUACGGGAGGCAGCAGGC
rnacentral:rRNA from 1 species